rnacentral:misc_RNA from 1 species
UUUAGCUUGAAGCUCCUUCUCCUUAGCUUUUAAAUCCUUUGCAGUAUCAAGAGGAAUGUCAAUUGUUGCACCACGAUCAUAAGUUUCAGGGGGAAGAGGUGAGAGCCUCGUGUUUGCAGGGGGAACACUUCCAACUCCAGGAUUAGAAAAUGGAUUGACGUCUUCGUCGAAAGGAUUGGAAUCGUAUCGACUCAUUAGGAAGA